ACGCUCGACACCUACGGAGGCAGCAGUGGGGAAUAUUGCACAAUGGGGGAAACCCUGAUGCAGCGACGCCGCGUGAAGGAAGAAGUAUUUCGGUAUGUAAACUUCUAUCAGCAGGGAAGAAGAUGACGGUACCUGACUAAGAAGCCCCGGCUAACUACGCGUCAGCAGCCGCGGUAAUCUGAGCGGGCUGGCAAGGC
rnacentral:rRNA from 1 species